rnacentral:lncRNA from 1 species
UUCACAUCUUUCCUCCAGAAGUGGGGAAUCCUAAACCUCCGGUUUCACACCACAGACCAGCAUCUAUUACACCGGUUUAGCAAAAUAAGAGACCUAAACUAGUGACUCAAGCUCUUCCUCAAGCUUCAAUAACAGGACGCGGUAGAACUUGCCAACACUGUGUCAAGGAUCAUCGGGACCGAUCCUACUAUCGUCUCAACAAUACUUGCUACAUAUGUGGGAAUGUCUAACACUACGCGAGAGAGUGCCUGCGAUAUCAAAAACAAGCCAGACCUUCUAUCCAGGGCAGAGCUUACAACCUCACUCAGCAAGAUAUUGAAGCUAACCCAUACGUGAUACAGGGUAUGUACACUAUCUUUAAUCACCUUGCAUAUGUUUUGAUUAAUAUUGGUGCUUCACAUUCAUUUGUCUCACAUGUUUUUACACCAAACAUGAAUGUAUUACCUGAA